rfam:Camelus ferus unplaced genomic scaffold scaffold245, whole genome shotgun sequence.
GAGGGUACAGCUCAGUGGUAGAGUGCAUGCCUAGCAUGCACGAGGUCCUGGGUUCGACCCCCAGUACCUCCA